GAUGAACGCUGGCGGUAUGCCUUACACAUGCAAGUCGUACGAGAGUUUUUAACUCAAGUGGCGGACGGGUGAGUAACACGUAAGAAUUUGCCUUUAGGAGGGGGACAACAACUGGAAACGGUUGCUAAUACCCCAUAUGCUUUCGAGUGAAAUGGAUUUUCCGCCUAGAGAGAAGCUUGCGGCUGAUUAGCUUGUUGGUAAGGUAAAAGCGUACCAAGGCGACGAUCAGUAGCUGGUCUGAGAGGAUGAGCAGCCACACUGGGACUGAGACACGGCCCAGACUCCUACGGGAGGCAGCAGUGGGGAAUUUUCCGCAAUGGGCGAAAGCCUGACGGAGCAAGACCGCGUGGGGAGGAAGGUUUUUGGAUCGUAAACCCCUUUUGUCAAGGAGAAGCUCUGACGGUACUUGACGAAUAAGCCUCGGCUAACUCCGUGCCAGC
rnacentral:rRNA from 1 species